rnacentral:rRNA from 1 species
AUCUAUGACCAUACCACUCUGAACACUCACUCUCAUCUGAUUUUAAGAGCUAAGCAGAAGUGGCCCUGGUCAGUAGUCACAGGGG